GCUGGAGCUUGCUCCGGUGGAUUAGUGGCGAACGGGUGAGUAACACGUGAGCAAUCUGCCCUUGACUCUGGGAUAACUGCGGGAAACUGUAGCUAAUACCGGAUACUUUCCUUGGUGGGCAUCCACUGGGGAAGAAAGAAUUUCGGUCAAGGAUGAGCUCGCGGCCUAUCAGCUAGUUGGUGAGGUAAUGGCUCACCAAGGCGACGACGGGUAGCCGGCCUGAGAGGGUGACCGGCCACACUGGAACUGAGACACGGUCCAGACUCCUACGGGAGGCAGCAGUGGGGAAUAUUGCACAAUGGGCGAAAGCCUGAUGCAGCAACGCCGCGUGAGGGACGAAGGCCUUCGGGUUGUAAACCUCUUUUAGCAGGGAAGAAGCGAAAGUGACGGUACCUGCAGAAAAAGCACCGGCUAACUACGUGCCAGCAGCCGCGGUAAUACGUAGGGUGCAAGCGUUGUCCGGAAUUAUUGGGCGUAAAGAGCUCGUAGGCGGUUUGUCACGUCUGCUGU
rnacentral:rRNA from 1 species